GGGAUUUGACAUCCGUGGAACCCGCUAUGAAAGUAGCGAGUGCUCACUUUGUGAGAACCACGUGACAGGUACUGCAUGGCUGUCGUCAGUUCGUGUCGUGAGAUGUUGGGUUAAGUCCCGUAACGAACGCAACCCCUGUCUUUAGUUGCCAGCAUUAAGUUGGGGACUCUAGAGAGACUGCCAAGGUGACAACUUGGAGGAAGGUGGGGAUGACGUCAAGUCCAUAUGGUCCUUACAUCCAGGGCGAGAAACGUGCUACAAUGGUUGGUACAAUGGGGAGCAAAAUCGCAAGAUCGAGCAAAUCCUCAAAACUAAUCUCAGUUCGGAUUGGAGUCUGCAACCCGACUCCAUGAAGUUGGAAUCGCUAGUAAUCGCGGAUCAGCAUGCCGCGGUGAAUACGUAUCCGGGUCUUGUACACACCGCCCGUCAAGUCAAC
rnacentral:rRNA from 1 species